CUCACCUCCAUGUCCUGAAUCAUGAGACCAGAGCUGUGACACUGACUGCCCCCUGCUCCCCAGCCUUCAGUCCCACCCAUGCCCCAUGCCCACCGCACACACACAAGGGGCCUGGGGAAACGUCAGCCAGGAUGGGUCACACUCGUGGCCUGGCCCUGGAAUGGCCCGCUCUGGGCUGCCCUGUGUUACCUCGGGGCUCCUCGGGAUACACGGAUAGAGGCGUUGGAGGAGGUCACUGAGCCAACGCCCACAGCGAGCAGGAAGACUCUCCCUCUCGGCUUCCCUGACUCCCUCGCUUUCAGAAGGCUCCGCACAACAAGACCGCAUGUUGCUCUGUCGAGCGCCUCCGGUCAAGUGAGCUGGACUGGGUUCUGCGACCAGGAGCUGGGUUCCAUCCGUCCGGGUCACAAUUGAGGUUCUACUUGGCGUGUCAUCAGUGACAUCACUUCUUCAAGGGCCCCUCCCUGCAUUCAGACACGCCCACGUGCCCCUCUGGGCUGCUGACUGCCCACCCUCCUGGCCCUUGCCAUGCAUGAGUACACACAUCUCCACCAGAGCCCUCCCCACGCUCUCUGGCAAUGUCACCGGGGUCCCAGCUCUGAGGAGACAAGAGCUGAGCUCAGUCCGCUUUUUCUCACUAGUUCCCUGUCCUGCUGAGGCCACAGCACCUCCCAGGACCUGCCCAACAUCCCAACCUGCACAGGGAGGGUCACGCCAGACAUUUCUCCCUAAGGACAUCCCCAGGGAUACAUGGAUGACACCUCCAGCUCCUGGGGACUGGCGUCACAUGUGUCUGACACACAGACUCAGAGAUGGAAGAAUGCCAACCAGGCUUGGCAUGGAGCAUGGAACACCACGCAGGAAGAGAACAAAGAGCAUUUUCCUGACCAAUACUUACACACUGGGUGCUUGGGGACCAAGUGAUGAAGCCCCAUGUGCAGCAGGAACUGCAGUUUGAGACACUCUGAUUACACUGACAAUCAUUCACUGUCAUCUCCAAGAUUCGUCUGUUUUCUAAGUAGGCUAAAUGAGUGACUUCAAUAAGGGUAUGUGGAAAUCACCACCCGUUCUUCUUUCAAAUCCUUGGUGUCACCAGGCAUUACUGCUUUCAAUGUAUACAGGGAGUUCUAGAGGCUUGUACUUGCCCUGCCACACAGCAUGAACUCCUGGCCGGCACAGUCCCCCGUGUCUAGCAAGGAGGAAGCCGGGAGCUCUGCGUCCCUGACAGCUCGGCCCUGUGGCCUCUGACACUGAAGGAGCGGCACUGCGGGCACUUGGUCGGGGUGGGGGGUGCUGCUCCUGAUACCAAGACCCGGUCCUCGUCCCUGAGGUCAAACCACAAAACACAAUGACAAGGGUUUGAAGAAAGGAAAGAAUAGUUUAUUGACUUGCUAGCAAAUGAGGGAGUGGCCAGCUCCUGCCUUGAAGAACCACCGUCCUCCUGACACAAGCGGUCAGGGCUUUUCAAGGGGAAAUGGUAGGAGAGGGGCUGGGGUGCCGACACAUGAAGUAGCAGCCUGCAAAGGUCCAAGCAGACAUUCCUCCUCCGAUUCACUAGCUUUGUGUUUUUCUUUUCUGAUGCUCCUCAGUUCCCGGGGACUGGAUGCUUGGGGUUGAACAAAAUCAGCUUUCAGCUUUAACUCUGACCCUCAGACUAGGAAAAUCUGAAGAACAAGAAGAAACUGCCACCCCAUCCACCUCUGCCCAUUAGUGGACAAAGUUUCUGGGGCUGUUUGAGUUCACUUUCUAGUAAAUGUUAGUGUUCAGUUUUGAACAAA